CGUCCUUUUAUUGUAUAUUAUGUAAAUUAUCAUGCAAUUUUUUCUCUAUAUUUUCUACUUUAUUUCAUUAUCCUUUUUUCUUUAUAUUUUCGCAACUCAUUAUUGUCUCUUUUUUUCAUUUUUCUUCAUUCUUUAAUUUUUAUUACUCUCUUGUUCAGUAAAUCCCCACCCUCACCAUCUGUUAUACUGUAUAUAUUGUGUUAUUUGUAAUUGUUUUUCCUAUAUUUUUGUCUGUAAUACCUGUUUUACCGAUUUAACAACAUCAAAUUUAAAGCAAAAGGUCAUCUUUACGAAAACCAUAUAAUUGGAAACAUUUUAAACAACCAAGGGUGAUAACUUUUAGAUGUUUAACGGGAAAAUCAUAUAAAAAACAACUUCACCUGCAUGUGGUUAUCCGUUAAAACACCAACUCUUUUCA
rnacentral:lncRNA from 1 species